UGAAGCUGGAAUUGCUAGUAAUGGCAGGUCAGCAUACUGCCGUGAAUACGUUCCCGGGCCUUGUACACACCGCCCGUCACACCAUGAGAGUUGGAAAUACCCGAAGCCUGUGAGCUAACAGUAAUGAGGCAGCAGUCGAAGGUAGAGCCAAUGAUUGGGGUGAAGUCGUAACAAGGUAAC
rnacentral:rRNA from 1 species